UUUGGAUUAAUACCCUAUAGUAUCAUUUAGAGUCAUCUCUUUAUGAUUAAAGGUUACGGUAUGAGAUGAGUAUGCGUUCUAUUAGUUAGUAGGUGAGGUAACGGCUCACCUAGACCACGAUAGAUAGGGGCCCUGAGAGGGGGAUCCCCCACACUGGUACUGAGACACGGACCAGACUCCUACGGGAGGCAGCAGUGAGGAAUAUUAGACAAUGGGCGAAAGCCUGAUCUAGCCAUGCCGCGUGCAGGAUGACGGCCCUAUGGGUUGUAAACUGCUUUUAUACAGGAAGAAAAAACUCUACGUGUAGAGUCUUGACGGUACUGUAAGAAUAA
rnacentral:rRNA from 1 species